GACCGAGGGUGCAAACGUUGUUCGGAAUUACUGGGCGUAAAGCGCGCGUAGGCGGCUGAUUAAGUCGGGUGUGAAAGCCCCGGGCUCAACCUGGGAACUGCAUUCGAUACUGAUCGGCUAGAGUAUGAGAGAGGGAGGUAGAAUUCCACGUGUAGCGGUGAAAUGCGUAGAUAUGUGGAGGAAUACCGGUGGCGAAGGCGGCCUCCUGGUUCAAUACUGACGCUGAGGUGCGAUAGCGUGGGGAGCAAACAGG
rnacentral:rRNA from 1 species